rnacentral:rRNA from 1 species
GAUGAACGCUGGCGGCGUGCUUAACACAUGCAAGUCGAACGGAAAGGCCCAAGCUUGCUUGGGUGCUCGAGUGGCGAACGGGUGAGUAACACGUGGGUGAUCUGCCCUGCACUUUGGGAUAAGCCUGGGAAACUGGGUCUAAUACCGGAUAGGACCAUCGUUUAGUGUCGGUGGUGGAAAGUUUUUCGGUGUGGGAUGAGCUCGCGGCCUAUCAGCUUGUUGGUGGGGUAAUGGCCUACCAAGGCGUCGACGGGUAGCCGGCCUGAGAGGGUGUACGGCCACAUUGGGACUGAGAUACGGCCCAGACUCCUACGGGAGGCAGCAGUGGGGAAUAUUGCACAAUGGGCGCAAGCCUGAUGCAGCGACGCCGCGGGGGGGAUGACGGCCUUCGGGUUGUAAACUCCUUUCGCCAAGGACGAAGCGUUUUGUGACGGUACUUGGAGAAGAAGCACCGGCUAACUACGUG